AAAAAAAAAAAAAAAGAGAGGAAGAAAACCUUAAUUGUGAUGUAUACUUUCACCAUUAGAAUUAAUUACUCCAAUAACUACUCUAAUAGAAUAUUCAGCUGUACCCUACAAUAAUAUGUUAGGUUCAUACAUUUAACGUAACUUAAACUAAUUAUAAUUAUUUUUAUUUUCUGCUUAAUUUGUUUUAGUAUUUUCACACAUUUAAUAUAUGUAAGUUAUUUCAUCACUUAAUAGUCAGAAUCUUAAAUCUAUUUGUGUCAACAUUUUGUCUAGACAACUAAUUAUAGAAUUCUAAAAUAACAUGUGGAACUUUUUGUGACAAGAUUGCUGGCCAUCUUUAUACGUGUACCAUUUUGAAUUACAUGAUAUAGAUAAGGUCAGUUAAGAGAUUGAUAUUAUACCAUCAAGUGAUAUGGUGUGGUAGAUAGGAUUGUUCCUCCCGUAAUUAGAGGUCUCGAGUUUCAGUACACACUGUGAAAAAAUUCUUGUAGGGAGUUCUUUUUUCCGAAUGAAGCUUUAUCCGGCGCAAAUUCAAAUAUAAUCGGAUUCUAAUAUAAAUAUCGAACACCGAAUGAAAUAAUUAAAAAAAGAAGAAAUUGAUCUUAUAAAAAAAAAGAAAUUGAUAUUUUAAAAGCUUUCUAGAAUUCAGGUCCCUUACUACUCCUCUUUUUUCCUUCUAAUUUUGCAGUUAUAUCUAACUAAUUAGAUAAGGACAGUCUUCGCGGCUUCUAAGUGAUUUCCUCAUUUUGUUUUUCAAAGAAAUUAGUAAAUUGUCGAAUAAAUAUCUAGGAAUUAAGUAGAUUUUACACAAACAUCCCUUUCUAAUAUUUUAGUUGAUAUGAGAUGAUACAAUAACAGCAAGGGCGGAGACAUAACUGUGUUCGAUCAAAUUUAAUAAAUUUUGUUCAAACGAUGUAUUUGGUGUUUAGAAUUUAUUAAAUACAUACAAAUAUUAAAUUUGAAACCUGAUUAUUAAUAUUUGAAAUCGAAUUUUAAAAUUCAGAACUUAUAUAAUUAAAUUGUGAUUCCGCCUCUGAAUAACAAAGCUUCAGUACACAAAUAAGUUAGGGUAUGAGUAAAUGAUAACUUAAAUACUUUUAAAUUCUUAGUGUACUUUGAUCGUUUCCAAUAGAUUUUGUAUCUCUUUUAUUUAUUUUAGUGAUUGAAGCUCACUAGAAAUAACUACUUGUAUUCGGCAUUUAAAUAAUUUGGUGACGUAAACGUUAUUUACAUUGAUAAAAAAAAAAUACAAAUUGCUGUAGAUUUUUCAAAAAUGUAAAAGUCAGUUACAUAUUUAGAGAGAUAUGAUUCUCAAAUUGUUCUAAAAUCCUAUCUUCAGCUUGACUUGAAUAUUCAAAAAAACUUUUGUGGACCAUAAAGCCAUCCUCAACUUGUUGUAAGUGGCCCUUCGUGCAAACAAUUUGAUCUUCUCAUUGAUGAAAGGAUACCUAAAAGGGAUAUAUAUAUAUAUAUAUAUAGUAUAAUAAUUAAGCAUAUUAUAGCUAUGUAUAAUAAUUAGCCUAUAAACUAUACUACUUUAUGAAAUUCCUCAUAUUUAUCCAACAACAAUACAUAAUACACUUCUUCCUUUCAAUUUUGAGUCUAGAAAAGUUAACCCCAUUUUUUUUUAAAGAAUCUAACAAAAUCAGAAGAUCCUUUACAGAGAAAUUCAGAUUUUAUAGAAAAUACCAAAUUUCAAUUUAUAUACCCAUAAUUUAAAUUACGGGUAUAAUUAUUGCUUCAUUUAUUCUAUGCAUGAAUUUAGGAGCAUAUAUUCCUUUUUCCUUUUUUUCCUCUUCUCUUUCCUAGUGUUCUGUUGGGUUGCAUAUCUUUCACCAAAUUCAUAGCUUCUUCUUCUUCUUUUUUACGAAUUUUUGCACUGACACAAUCAAAGAUCACCUUCAACAAACAAUAGACAGAGAAGUCCCAUGACGAAACCCACGUCUUAAGUUCCAUGGCCACCCCACCAAUACAUACAUUGCCUUUCAGAAUUAUAAAUAAUAAUUGUAAUGUAAACAAAAGCUUCAAAUCUUAAAAUGCAAACGAAACUAUUUGUUUACUCUUGGUUCUAGAGACUGUGAGUAGGAAAGGAUUAUUAUAUUACAAUUGGAUCAUCCGAUUGCCGAUACUGUUUUCACAUACACUAAAUAAACCAACAUACAGUAACAGCAGAAUUGGAUCAUCCGAUUGUCGAUAUUGUUUUCACAUAUACUAAAUAAACCAACAUACAGUAACAGCAGUCUCACCAAUUGUUAUUAUAGAAAUCAAAUUGAAGGCGUUGUAGAAACUCAUACACUUCAAACUCAUACAAUACUUCACAGCAGUCUCACCAAUUGUUAUUAUAGAAAUCAAAUUGAAGGCGUUGUAGAAACUCAUACAAUACUUCUUCAAGUAUUGUAUUUAAAGAAGAUUUUUCAAAAUUGAAAUUUUAAAUAUUAAGAAUUGAUUAAAUUUGGUAUGCUUAAAUCUUUUUACACAAGAUUGUAGUUUAAUUGUAGUAUAAAUGUAACAAUACAAUUUAAAUAUAAUUUACAAUUUAUCUACAAAUUAUCUACAAUUCUACAAUUUAACUACAAUUUAACUACAAAUUCUGGAAAAAAUAUGUCUUCUUCUCAGACGAGUUUCAAUUUGAAAUUCAGUCAAAACCAAGUCUAAUCUUCACCAAAACCCCUCAAAAUUGAGAUAUAAGCUCCUAACACAUAUUUUGAAUUAUUUACAAUAACACCCAAUCCAAGGGAUUUUCAAUUGUAGCAUAAUUGGUAUUUUCGACAUAAUUAUAGAAGACUUGUAGAAGUUUUAGUCNNNNNNNNNNNNNNNNNNNNNNNNNNNNNNNNNNNNNNNNNNNNNNNNNNNNNNNNNNNNNNNNNNNNNNNNNNNNNNNNNNNNNNNNNNNNNNNNNNNNNNNNNNNNNNNNNNNNNNNNNNNNNNNNNNNNNNNNNNNNNNNNNNNNNNNNNNNNNNNNNNNNNNNNNNNNNNNNNNNNNNNNNNNNNNNNNNNNNNNNNNNNNNNNNNNNNNNNNNNNNNNNNNNNNNNNNNNNNNNNNNNNNNNNNNNNNNNNNNNNNNNNNNNNNNNNNNNNNNNAUUACACUGCAAUAGAUUUUCUUCCGUUUUAAAUUUCGAAAUUAAUGGUGAUAGAAUCACCAUUAAAUGUGAUUCCUACAAAUUUGGAGCCUUUUAGGGUUGAAUCUAUCUAUUUUUAGUUUGGUACAAUUUUUGUAAACAAAACAUGGUAUAGGCGGGUAAAUAUCAAACCAUACACAAUUUUGAUAAUAAGGUUUGCUAUAUGGUAUAUAUAGGUAAAAAUCCCUACCUAAAAAGGGGGAUGAGUUGUGUCAUUGGAAAAGUAUUAUGUUUGCUCCCAGAUAUUUAUCCGAAAAAUUAAGUUAUACUUUCAGAAAAUUAUCAUUAGUAUAGUUAUAGUAUAUUUUAAUGUUAUAGCACAUCCACAUAUAAUAUUGAAAUAAGACAUCAAUUAUUUUGAACUUAAAAGAAAAGAGUAACAAGCUAUUAUAGCUUAGUUAGAGCAUUCGCUUAGUAAGCGAAGGUCUUGAAUUUGGCUCGAUAUUAUUCUAUUUUUUUAUAUUGUUAUAUUUUGCCUUAAUUAUAUUUAUUACGAGAAUGAAUAUACACACUCAUGUAGCACAAACGAAUAUACACAUCCUGAUAUUUUGCUUUGGUUGCAUUCAUUAUGCAUACAAUAUGCUAUAUUCGUUGAGUGUCUUAAUAUAAGUAAUACAAACUGGUAAUCAUUGAACACCAGGUAUGAAUGUAUAAUAAUUAAGCAUAUUAUAGCUAUGUAUAAUAAUUAGCCUAUAAACUAUACUACUUUAUGAAAUUCCUCAUAUUUAUCCAACAACAAUACAUAAUACACUUCUUCCUUUCAAUUUUGAGUCUAGAAAAGUUAACCCCAUUUUUUUUUAAAGAAUCUAACAAAAUCAGAAGAUCCUUUACAGAGAAAUUCAGAUUUUAUAGAAAAGACAAAACAAUUAUUCUUGCACAUUUGUUGGCUCUUGGAUAAUUAUAGCGCGUUUAAAAUGUUUUUAAUAAUUUCCAUAUGCCAAAUAGUUCACACGUAGAUAUUUAUCACUUUUGUGGGAAAUAAAUGGAUAAAGACCUUUAUACGUGUUAAGAUGCCGGUUUUGACUUCUCAUUUUCUUUUUUCUUCUUUUAUUAAAUACACGUCCGAUUAAACCCUUGCCAUAACCCCUAUAUAAAACCUCCAUUCAAACUCCUAAAUCUUGCAUUAUUUUUCACUACAACAAAAAAUAUAUAUUAUACAGUUAGUUAACAUAUUCUCAUGUCAUCCUAUUCAACCACCACCACUACGGCUGACGACGGCGGAAGGACGGCGAUCACCGCCGUCCAUCCCGACAUCAUACAAACCCUAAUCUUAACCAAACUCGACGGCCCAACUCUUAUUUCCACCAGUUCCGCUUCUUCACAACUUAAAAAUCUCUGUUCCGAUGAUAUUCUCUGGCAAAAGAUUUGCAACUCUUAUUGGCCAUCUUCCUCUAAUCCUCUAGUCCAAAACGCCAUCUCCACCUUCCCUUCCGGUCACCGGUCAUUCUUCUCCGACUCCUUUCCCGCCAUCCUCCACCAUAAUAAUACUAAUAUAUGUCGUACCGAAUACCGAAAUUUCUUAACACCGGAGUUGAUAUCAGCUGUUGAUAUUCACUUUGAGGAAAAUUUAUUAUACUCAAAAGUAGUGAAAACAGAGACGAAAAGCGGGUGGUUCAUGACUUCGCCGUUAAGAGUUGACCUUUUGGGUCAUAAAGAGACGGUAACGACGCCGGUGAAAUUCGACGGCGAUGACGGAAUAUGCAAAUCACGUUUAAAGGAGAAUAUGAAAUUGAGCUGGAUUUUAAUUGAUCCAAAGAAAAAUCGAGCUGUGAAUAUGUCGAGUUUGAAGCCGGUAUCCGUCCGGCGACAUUGGUUAACCGGAGAAUUGAAGGUCCGGUAUUCAACGGUGAUGGCUUUUGGUGCCGACGCCGGCGACGGAGGAGGGUUCGUGCAGUGCGGAAUAGUAGUCACGUGCGAAGGGAAGGAAGGAGGUGAAUUGCACGUGAGGGAAGUGAGCAUGCAAGUGGAGGACAUGGAUGGGAAAGUUUUAAGUGGAAAGGAUAGUUUGGUAAUUUUGCAAGAGGCUAUGGAAGGAGGAAGGAAGAAGGGAAAAGAAGGAGAAGAAAAAGAAAGGUAUGAGAAAUUCUUGGAAUUAAGGAAAUUAUGGAGGGAAAGAAAACAAAGGAGAGAAAAAAGAUUAGAUAUGAUGUGUAUAGUUAGUGGGAUUACAAUUUUUAUUUCUUUUUGGACUUUGAUUGUGUUAGGUUCAAGAAGCUAGUAAUGGUAAUUAUUUUAGUUAGAAAUAGGAAAAAAAAAAGAAUUUAAAGUUAUUAUAUUAAUUUUUUCUCAAUAAAGAAAGAAAAUUACAAUGUUAUAGUUGUUAUGAAAUCUUCUAUUUAAGGUGAGAAUGAGAAUUUAAAGUUAUUAAUUAUAUUAAGUUUUAAUAAAGAGCAAAAAUUACAAUCUUAUUGUAACAUUUUUUUCCUUUUAUUCAUUGAUAAAUUAUGAAACAUUGCAUGAAAAUCUUCUAUUAAGGCACAAUUAAUUCAAAUUGAUUGAUCCAUAAUCAAUAACCAUAUAGAGAUGUUAUUUUCAUAUAUCCUGACUCAUUGCACCGAGUGUAUUCUGUGUUUAUGGGUUUGAACUCUGACUUUUUGUUUUAUAUCAUUUCAUUGAGGACUAAAUUACAUGUUUCUUUGUUUAUCGAAACUUUGCAUUUUUUUAAUAAUGUGGGCAAACGAAAGAAAUCCAGAGAUUAGGUUACAAAUAAUUGGGGACUGGGUAGAAUCUAUGGAUUUAGAGUCCGUUUGG
rnacentral:lncRNA from 1 species